GCAGGAGAACAAGAGGCUGUUUGCUCACAGACCAUUUCCUUCUGGGAAGCCCCGUGCCUCAAAUCGGUGUAGUUCACCUAAGACUGUAAAGGAUUUUUGCAGUCACUGUUUUGGCCAUUUCUACUGCCUCCACUUUCCAUUAUGUCUCCUCCCAGGCAGCCUAGGAAUUUCCUGAUAGAGUUGAAAUGGAGCAAUAAGUACAGAUUUUCCUGAGUGUCCCACAGACACGACUCCAAUUCCAGCUUUUGAAUGAUCCACAGUAAACCAAGGAACUGAGUGAAUGACCAGGGAUCCAGUGCUUCAGCCUGCUUCCUGGCCAUCAUUAACAGCUGAGACAAUCCCUGUGUAACAGGACCUAAAACACAUAUAGGACACAUCCCAGAUUAAAGGCACUACACUGAGAAGAAAGACUGAAGAACUUCAUCCUAGUUCAUAACCAUCCCGAUGUUGAAGACUCCUAAUGUGGUAGAAAAGAAGUCGAGAAAUGAAC